AUCGAUGCGGUGCUAUAAUGCAGUCGAACGCGUUGGCCCAAUUGAUUGAUGGUGCUUGCACCUGAUUGAUUUUGGUCGCCAACGAGUGGCGGACGGGUGAGUAACACGUAGGUAACCUGCCCAGAAGCGGGGGACAACAUUUGGAAACAGAUGCUAAUACCGCAUAACAGCGUUGUUCGCAUGAACAACGCUUAAAAGAUGGCUUCUCGCUAUCACUUCUGGAUGGACCUGCGGUGCAUUAGCUUGUUGGUGGGGUAACGGCCUACCAAGGCGAUGAUGCAUAGCCGAGUUGAGAGACUGAUCGGCCACAAUGGGACUGAGACACGGCCCAUACUCCUACGGGAGGCAGCAGUAGGGAAUCUUCCACAAUGGGCGCAAGCCUGAUGGAGCAACACCGCGUGAGUGAAGAAGGGUUUCGGCUCGUAAAGCUCUGUUGUUAAAGAAGAACACGUAUGAGAGUAACUGUUCAUACGUUGACGGUAUUUAACCAGAAAGUCACGGCUAACUACGUGCCAGCAGCCGCGGUAAUACGUAGGUGGCAAGCGUUAUCCGGAUUUAUUGGGCGUAAAGAGAGUGCAGGCGGUUUUCUAAGUCUGAUGUGAAAGCCUUCGGCUUAACCGGAGAAGUGCAUCGGAAACUGGAUAACUUGAGUGCAGAAGAGGGUAGUGGAACUCCAUGUGUAGCGGUGGAAUGCGUAGAUAUAUGGAAGAACACCAGUGGCGAAGGCGGCUACCUGGUCUGCAACUGACGCUGAGACUCGAAAGCAUGGGUAGCGAACAGGAUUAGAUACCCUGGUAGUCCAUGCCGUAAACGAUGAGUGCUAGGUGUUGGAGGGUUUCCGCCCUUCAGUGCCGGAGCUAACGCAUUAAGCACUCCGCCUGGGGAGUACGACCGCAAGGUUGAAACUCAAAGGAAUUGACGGGGGCCCGCACAAGCGGUGGAGCAUGUGGUUUAAUUCGAAGCUACGCGAAGAACCUUACCAGGUCUUGACAUCUUGCGCCAACCCUAGAGAUAGGGCGUUUCCUUCGGGAACGCAAUGACAGGUGGUGCAUGGUCGUCGUCAGCUCGUGUCGUGAGAUGUUGGGUUAAGUCCCGCAACGAGCGCAACCCUUGUUACUAGUUGCCAGCAUUAAGUUGGGCACUCUAGUGAGACUGCCGGUGACAAACCGGAGGAAGGUGGGGACGACGUCAGAUCAUCAUGCCCCUUAUGACCUGGGCUACACACGUGCUACAAUGGACGGUACAACGAGUCGCGAACUCGCGAGGGCAAGCAAAUCUCUUAAAACCGUUCUCAGUUCGGACUGCAGGCUGCAACUCGCCUGCACGAAGUCGGAAUCGCUAGUAAUCGCGGAUCAGCAUGCCGCGGUGAAUACGUUCCCGGGCCUUGUACACACCGCCCGUCACACCAUGAGAGUUUGUAACACCCAAAGUCGGUGGGGUAACCUUUUAGGAGCCAGCCGCCUAAGGUGGGACAGAUGAUUAGGGUGAAGUCGUAGCAAGCCAUGG
rnacentral:rRNA from 1 species